CCUACGGGGGGCAGCAGUGGGGGAUAUUGCACAAUGGGGGGAACCCUGAUGCAGCGACGCCGCGUGGGUGAAGGAUGACUGCCCUAUGGGUUGUAAACUUCUUUUAUAAAGGAAUAAAACGAGGCACGUGUGCCUUUUUGCAUGUACUUUAUGAAUAAGGAUCGGCUAACUCCGUGCCAGCAGCCGCGGUAAUACGGAGGAUCCGAGCGUUAUCCGGAUUUAUUGGGUUUAAAGGGAGCGUAGAUGGGUUGUUAAGUCAGUUGUGAAAGUUUGCGGCUCAACCGUAAAAUUGCAAUUGAUACUGGCAGUCUUGAGUACAGUUGAGGUAGGCGGAAUUCGUGGUGUAGCGGUGAAAUGCUUAGAUAUCACGAAGAACCCCGAUUGCGAAGGCAGCUUACUAAACUGUGACUGACAUUGAUGCUCGAAAGUGUGGGUAUCAAACAGGAUUAGAUACCCUAGUAGUC
rnacentral:rRNA from 1 species